CUCCAUCCAUUAGGUCUUUCAUUGAAGCCAUUAAAUUUCUGCCAAAUUCCAGGAAGACCUGGAAUAUGACAGUUUAUUAGAGAGUACCCUGGAAAAAAUAGCCAUGAAAGUGAAAAAAAGGAAGCAAGCUUGGACAGAAGAAAAAACUGGACUGAAAUACAAUCUCAGGUGAUGGAAAAAGAAGAAUUCCAAGAACAUGGAGCCAAGGGCUGUGGAAAACAACUGAC
rnacentral:lncRNA from 1 species